rnacentral:rRNA from 1 species
AGCGAACGCUGGCGGCAGGCCUAACACAUGCAAGUCGAACGAACUCUUCGGAGUUAGUGGCGGUCGGGUGAGUAACACGUGGGAACGUGCCGUUAGGUUCGGAAUAAUACAGGGUAACUGGUGCUAAUACCGGAUGUGCCCCUCGGGUAAAAGAUUCGUCGUCUUUAGGGCGGCCCGCGUCUUAUUAGCUUGUUGGUGAGGUAAAGGCCCACCAAGGCGACGAUCAGUAGCUGGUCUGAGAGGAUGAUCAGCCACAUUGGGACGGAGACACGGCCGAAACUCAUACGCGAGGCAGCAGUGGGGAAUCUUGCGAAAUGGGCGAAAGCCUGACGCAGCCAUGCCGCGUGAAUGAUGAAGGUCUUAGGAUUGUAAAAUUCUUUCACCGGGGACGAUAAUGACGGUACCCGGAGAAGAAGCCCCGGCUAACUUCGUG